ensembl:lncRNA
UUUUUUAAGUGUAGGAUGUAGGCACUUAUUUAUCACUGGUGAAAAUGCAUAGGUAUUUAUGGUGACUAUGUUGAAAAGUAGUGUUUUGUCACUGAAAAUUUGUUUCUAUUUCCAUAGAAAUAAAUAGGAGAAAUUGCUUUCAGCAUUAUCUAUGCACUUGGUGUAUAAAAAAUAUGUUUCAACUUAAGAAAAUCAGCUUGCAAGUUGAGGUAUGCAUGGCAGAAGAGAGAACACUUCUUUCCUUAGUUCUCACCUAUGAGAUUUAUCAGGUUCCUUCCAAAUGAAGAUAUCUGCAAAGAAAUUGUGCCCCUGUUACUGCCCCAGAAGUGCUGAGAGAGGAUAUUGUCCAGAGCAAUAUUUGACAUUCUGGAGAAUUUUCACUAAAGGAAACUCUUCGUUUCAGGUGAGAUGUAACAGAAAUUUGUUAAUUAGUCUGGUUCAUCCUUCUGCUGGAUCCUCUUCAAAGAUCACUGCCUUUCAUUCUUCAUUGUGUAAAACAAGCCACAAGACACAGCAUGUCUUCCAGGCACUUGAAGCACACAAAUUAAAAAAUGACAAUGAAUGUAACUUAUGACAGUAACUUAUCCAGUAUUUCCAUUUUAUUUGCAUAUCACAUUCAGAAAAUUGGACUAAAACUAUGUUAAGACCAAAAAUUCAGGCAUCUAGUUUAACAUAUUUCAUGAUUUAAACAUCCCAGUGAUGUUUUCAGCUGGAAUUCCCUUGUGGAUUGUUACUUAGAAUCAUAUGUGAGAGUGAAGACACAUUUUUUCUGAUAACUGUAAAUCUGAUAUUUGGUAUCUGUUAGUUGAAAUAAUGCACAAUAUAUUCUCUUAGAGCACAGAUCUUUAAAUAUAAACCAGAAAAUUCACUACAAAUGACAUUAACACUUAGAAAGUGAUAGUUGGUCAAAACAGUAUGAAAUUUUCCAAAUAUUUCUACUAUAUUGGCAAAAUUCAACCAUUUUGAAAGGACUUCUCUCUGUUACCGAGUAACUUAUUCUACAGAAUAAAAUUGCACUGAAUUUCCAAUUUGUCACUUCCAGAAAUCCUCUGCAGAAUAGUUGCAGAAGGAUGCGAAAGAAUUGAAUUCUACAUUGCUUCAUCAUUUGCCAAGCUGAAAAAAGAGCAAUCACUCAAAAUCAUUCAAAAGGUCCAUGGGUAGUUGCCCCAUGUUUCCCAUUCUUUAGGCACCAGAUGAGUGAUCUGUGAUUCAUAGUCCAGUGAUGUUGUAGCAUAGAGAAAGGACAUACUGAACACUUUAUUCUCACAGUAGACUCUGAACAGCCAACUUUCUUGUACCAUACUAAUUCCAGUCAUUUUAGUCUCUGAAACACAUCUGAUGUUUAUAACCCAUUUGCAUUUUUUUCCCAAGUUUUUCUAUUUUCCGUAAAAAUAUCUUCUUAAUAACUGAUUUCAUUAUUUUUUAAUGAAGGUGUCAAAACAUAAACCAGAAACAUUUAAUAAAACUGCUAUGAUUAAUAUAUGAAUAAUUAUAGAAAAUAAUUAAAAUAGUGAAUAACAAUGUGUUUAUUUGAGAAAUAUCUAAAAAGCACUUGAGUAGUACAUAUUAAGCAAGCACAGAUAAAUAUAAAAUGUUUAGUUCAUAGAACACUAUUUAGAAAAAUGUAUUUUACUAAUUUAAAGUAAUAUAUUUUUCUCAAUAUUUUCACGUGUAUGGAUUAACAAUACUAGCUGUCCAAUAGAAAUCAGAUACUGACAUGUUAAUUCAAACAUCAAAUGCAACAAAGCUUUAAGUAUGUAGUUCUCAUUCCCAUCACCUUGACUAUGUUCUUCUUUGAUCUGUCAGAUAAUCUGAUGUUCUACUAACAUCUUUUAAAGUAAAUAAGCUCUACAUUUUAAAGUACUGAAUUGUAAUUGUAUAUGCCAAUAAUUAGUAAUGACAGUAGCUACAUUUUAUUGGUAGAUUAAAAUAUAAAUUUGUAUUGUAAAAAGACGUUCAAACAAUUUUUAUUGUAAAAUAUAAUUUUGAGUUUGUAGUUUGUCCCUUGUUUUCAAUUAUAGGAUGAAU